GCCAGGAGAGCAUGGGCGGUUCAUGCACUCGACUUGUAAUCGAGACUUCGGGGGUUCGAAUCCCCCUCCUGGCU
rnacentral:tRNA from 1 species